rnacentral:rRNA from 1 species
GACAGAGGUGCCGAGCGUUAGGCGGAAUCACUGGGCUUAAAGCGUGUGUAGGCGGGCGGGCAAGUACCUUGUGAAAUCCCACGGCUCAACCGUGGAACGGCUGGGUAUACUGCCUGUCUUGAGCCAACUAGGGGCGAGCGGAACAGACGGUGGAGCGGUGAAAUGCGUAGAUAUCGUCUGGAACGCCAAAGGUGAAAACAGCUCGCUGGGGUUGUGCCGACGCUGAGACACGAAGACCAGGGGAGCAAACGGG